rnacentral:lncRNA from 1 species
AUGGGGUUGGGCCCAAUAAUUGUUAGGUGAGGGACCUAAUGACGGCUUUACACCUGCUUGUGAACGGUGGGUCUGACUUAACUAAGAAGUAUGGAUAAUAACUGUUAGGUGAGUCCAUAUGACUUAAAGACCAAGUAGCUGCAAUAUGCUUAAAAAAGUAUCGGGACAAAGAGUUGUCCAUGCAUUGGUGUUUAUUCAUAUUACCAAUAACUGUUAGGUGAGGUGCACGGCAUUGGUGGGACCGCAGCACCCACUAAAAAUUUAAUUAUCAUGUUAGAAUUUUUGUUUCUCCAUCCGGAGAGUGUGAAAGUUAUGAUAAUAUAGUGGG